rnacentral:misc_RNA from 1 species
GAUGAAGAACGUAGCGAAAUGCGAUAAGUAAUGUGAAUUGCAGAAUUCAGUGAAUCAUCGAAUCUUUGAACGCACAUUGCGCCCGCCAGUAUUCUGGCGGGCAUGCCUGUUCGAGCGUCAUUACAACCCUCAGGCCCCCGGGCCUGGCGUUGGGGAUCGGCGGAGCCCCCCGUGGGCACACGCCGUCCCCCAAAUACAGUGGCGGUCCCGCCGCAGCUUCCAUCGCGUAGUAGCUAACACCUCGCGACUGGAGAGCGGCGCGGCCACGCCGUAAAACACCCAACUCUUCUGAAGUUGACCUCGAAUCAGGUAGGAAUACCCGCUGAACUUAAGCAUAGCAAUAAGCGGAGGA